AGACCAUGUGUGAGUGUGUGAGCUCCUAUUUGAGGGAACAAGGUAAAGCCCUUGUUUCUGAGGAAGGAGAAGGAAAGAACCCCGUUGAUUAUAUUCAGGGCUUAUUGGAUCUGAAGAGUAGGUUUGAUCACUUCCUCCAGGAAUCAUUUAAUAAUGACCGGCUCUUUAAACAAACUAUUGCAGGUGACUUGGAAUAUUUUCUCAACUGCAACUCCAGGUCCCCUGAGUUUAUCAUUAUUUAUUGAUGAUAAGCUGAAAAAGGGAGUAAAAGGGACUGAAUGUGGAUGUCAGUUCACAUCAAAACUGGAAGGAAUGUUUAGGGAAAUGAGCAUCUCAAGCAUAACUAUGGAUGAAUUCAGGCAACAUCUACAGACAACCGGGGUAAGAUUCUCCACUUAUUUCUACUUUUAAAUGAAAUUCCUUCUUGUAUAGUCUUUUUGUUUUUAAUUAAAGUAUCGUUGAUAACAUAAUAUUACAUUGGUUUAAAGUAUAUGACACUGU